rnacentral:piRNA from 1 species
UUGGUGACAGAAAACAGGCUAAGCCCUUGUGU